rnacentral:rRNA from 1 species
UACGAAGGGGGCUAGCGUUGCUCGGAAUUACUGGGCGUAAAGCGCACGUAGGCGGCUUCUUAAGUCGGUGGUGAAAUCCUGGAGCUCAACUCCAGAACUGCCUUCGAUACUGGGAGCUCGAGUCCGGGAGAGGUGAGUGGAACUGGCGAGUGUAGAGGUGAAUUCGUAGAUAUUCGCAAGAACACCAGUGGCGAAGGCGGCUCACUGGCCCGGUACUGACGCUGAGGUGGCGGAAAGCGUGGGGAGCAAACAGGG